UUCUGCCUGCCCGGCUUCUGGAGAGAAGGGCGUGGGUGUCCCUGCAGCGGGGUAUUCAGCCCCCGCCCCGGCUCACUGCGCUUCCCACGUGUCAGUUCCCUAGGCCCCAGCCGCUUGGCCUUCAGGAUCUUGUUCACGUGGUCCAGGUUCUUCUUGGUGGACAGGAUCUUGGUGUAGUUGCACAUCUUCCGCACUUCGCACUGGAUGGCUUCGAUCUCCCGCCGCUUGAAUCUCUUCUUCAGGGAGGAGCCGACUGCGGGAGGGGAAGAGAUAAGAAAUUGAGCACAGGAUGCAAGGUGCCUUCAACUCAGCCUCUUCACUGACAGCUAGCAUUCUACUUGGCUAUAAAGAUUAUAGAGAAUUAAUGCUAUGGGUAUGUCUCCGUGCCCAAGAUGCAUUAUUCCUCUUUAUUAAAAUAAAAACAAACAUUUCUCAAA